AGGGACAUGUCGAGUUGGCAGCUC
rnacentral:siRNA from 1 species